rnacentral:rRNA from 1 species
UACAGAGGUCUCGAGCGUUGUUCGGAUUCAUUGGGCGUAAAGGGUGCGUAGGCGGCGAGGCAAGUCUGGUGUGAAAUCCCGGGGCUCAACCCCGGAACUGCACUGGAUACUGCUUUGCUAGAGUACUGGAGAGGGAACUGGAAUUUACGGUGUAGCAGUGAAAUGCGUAGAUAUCAGGAGGAACACCGGUGGCGAAGGCGGGUCUCUGGGCCGUAACUGACGCUGAGGAGCGAAAGCAUGGGGAGCAAACAGG